GAUGAACGCUGGCGGCGUGCCUAAUACAUGCAAGUCGAGCGAACAGACGAGGAGCUUGCUCCUCUGACGUUAGCGGCGGACGGGUGAGUAACACGUGGAUAACCUACCUAUAAGACUGGGAUAACUUCGGGAAACCGGAGCUAAUACCGGAUAAUAUAUUGAACCGCAUGGUUCAAUAGUGAAAGACGGUUUUGCUGUCACUUAUAGAUGGAUCCGCGCCGCAUUAGCUAGUUGGUAAGGUAACGGCUUACCAAGGCAACGAUGCGUAGCCGACCUGAGAGGGUGAUCGGCCACACUGGAACUGAGACACGGUCCAGACUCCUACGGGAGGCAGCAGUAGGGAAUCUUCCGCAAUGGGCGAAAGCUUGACGGAGCAACGCCGCGUGAGUGAUGAAGGUCUUCGGAUCGUAAACCUCUGUUAUUAGGGAAGAACAAAUGUGUACGUAACUAUGCACGUCUUGACGGUACCUAAUCAGAAAGCCACGGCUAACUACGUG
rnacentral:rRNA from 1 species